rnacentral:rRNA from 1 species
GGAUCCAGACUUUGAUCCUGGCUCAGGAUGAACGCUAGCUACAGGCUUAACACAUGCAAGUCGAGGGGCAGCGGGAUUGAAGCUUGCUUCAAUUGCCGGCGACCGGCGCACGGGUGAGUAACGCGUAUCCAACCUUCCGUACACUCAGGGAUAGCCUUUCGAAAGAAAGAUUAAUACCUGAUGGUAUGAUGAGAUUGCAUGAUAGCAUCAUUAAAGAUUUAUCGGUGUACGAUGGGGAUGCGUUCCAUUAGGUAGUAGGCGGGGUAACGGCCCACCUAGCCAACGAUGGAUAGGGGUUCUGAGAGGAAGGUCCCCCACAUUGGAACUGAGACACGGUCCAAACUCCUACGGGAGGCAGCAGUGAGGAAUAUUGGUCAAUGGACGAGAGUCUGAACCAGCCAAGUAGCGUGAAGGAUGAAGGUCCUACGGAUUGUAAACUUCUUUUAUAAGGGAAUAAACCCUCCCACGUGUGGGAGCUUGUAUGUACCUUAUGAAUAAGCAUCGGCUAACUCCGUGCCAGCAGCCGCGGUAAUACGGAGGAUGCGAGCGUUAUCCGGAUUUAUUGGGUUUAAAGGGAGCGCAGACGGGUCGUUAAGUCAGCUGUGAAAGUUUGGGGCUCAACCUUAAAAUUGCAGUUGAUACUGGCGUCCUUGAGUGCGGUUGAGGUGUGCGGAAUUCGUGGUGUAGCGGUGAAAUGCUUAGAUAUCACGAAGAACUCCGAUUGCGAAGGCAGCACACUAAUCCGUAACUGACGUUCAUGCUCGAAAGUGUGGGUAUCAAACAGGAUUAGAUACCCUGGUAGUCCACACGGUAAACGAUGGAUACUCGCUGUUGGCGAUAUACUGUCAGCGGCUUAGCGAAAGCGUUAAGUAUCCCACCUGGGGAGUACGCCGGCAACGGUGCAACUCAAAUGAAUUGACGG